UAACAUGACUUUCAAUUCCUUACUCAGAGAUGGGAUGAUCGUAUCUGAUUGAAUAUAAUUUUGUAAACUUUCUUUCUGGAUUUAUUUUCUAGUUUGAUAAAGUUUUUUUUUUUUUUUUCGGUGUUAGAAGAGAAAACAGGAUCAUAUUGCUGAACUUGCCCUGGUCACACUUUUGUCACCAGCUACGGUCAAUUCUGAUCCUUCAAUAAUGUAGAGUAUACCUUUUCGUUGUCAUCUCACUUUGUUACUUGUACAACAUUGCUGGACCCUAGGAUGGAAUGCACCUACAACAUGACUUUAGGAUCUUGAUCACGCAUUGCAACCAUUGAAAUGAACAUGAUAUGUAAGCCUUAACUAGAUAAGAUAGAACAGAAACAUGUAUUUCCUGAACAACUGUGGGUAGUUUCAACUUUUCAGCCAAGGAUACAGUGAGAGAAAACGAUAUAAUUUUGUUUGGGCAUCUCCAAAAUAGAGCUACGCAUGUGCCAUUUUGGCAAUGCGCGAACUUAUAUUAGUGGUAAAGGAAGAUGGAAGUUUUUAUUAUACUCGGUGAGAAAGGAUUUGAUGAGUUUUAAUUGGACCAGUCAUAUUGACCUCAAUAGAACUCAAUGAAAAGAUUCAUGUAGCUAACCUCAACCAGUUGAAUUUUAUAGCUUGUUGUUAUUGUAUGAAUCACAUCUGCAAUAAGGAGUAUGAGAAAAGACUAGGAGACUUCCGAUUUCCCAUGGUUGUACAGUUGUCAGUUCAUGGUCCUAAGUUAUGAGCAAACCAUCCAUACAUCAAAAUUAUUUGUCAAUUAUCCAUAUGCAAAGAUUGUAACCAUCACAAAUAUGUUAAUUGGAUAUCUGUUCUCUGAAAAUGAAGCACUUGGUUGAUGAACGAAUGUUUCACGAUACUCAUGAGCCAUUAAGAUACUAAGACUGUUGAGGUUUGCCAAAUUCUAUGGUACACAUCUUUACCAUAUAAGUUUUACCUGUAAGUCAUUUCUACACCAAGGGACUUGUUGUUUCUGAGAUUUCGUGGAUAUGUAACUUUCACCAUAGGAGUAUUCCAACUUCCAAGUACUCCAAAACCACAAUGGGAGUAUCAGGCAUUUUUAUUUCUAGAAUUACCACUUUACCCUCGCUGUGAAAAUUGAGUGUAAAGAGAGUUCUUAGAUGCUGCUUCAAGAAAUUCUAAAAUAAACUUUCUAUUCUAAAACUACCUUCAAUGUGUAUAUGGACAUUAAAGCAGUACAUGAAUUGCAGAACAUUGAGUUUCUUUUUUGGAUUCUUUUCUUACAUCAUCCUAAUGAAUAUAAUUAUAUAAUGCCUUCAAUUUUUUUAUCCGAAUUCACAGCAAAUUAUAUGAUUCUGUAGCUAAUAACAGAGCUCUUUUUUCUCCUAUCAGAUCAGUUUAUUGCCUGUGGUAGCUCAAGAGACGAGGCCCAUGAGCUAGCCUCAGAGAUUUGGCUAGCAGUCAUCAACAAUCUUGAAGAAAAUAAGCACACGUUUUUGCUGUUAAAACGCUUUGCACAAGAAGGAGAUCUUGUUCUUCCGUUUCCCUACUCAAGAUCUUAUAAGGUGUUGUGGAGGGUGUUCGAGAAGCUGUUCACCGACUUCCGUGAUUGUUUGAGCCGUGCCGAUUUCUAUGAUGUGUUGGCCUGCGCCAAGUCCAUGUUCCAGCCAAUCCCAUCCACUUGGCUGGGAUACUAGCUCUGUAUGUAUUUGUUAGUUGAGUGACUGCUCCUGUAUUUGUUCUUAGAUGGUUCCAGUAAUUGUCUUAGAUUGUGCCAAUACCCCUUAGCUCUAGACCAACUCUGACAACAAGUAUAUGUUCCUUUGGAUAACUUGAUUGUUUGCAGAUUCAUACAUCACAAUUACAUGCACAACUUUUUCCAGCUGA